AAACCAACAGGGAUUCCCCUAGUAGCGGCGAGCGAAGCGGGAUGAGCUCAAAUUUGUAAUCUGGCGUCCGUACGGGCGUCCGAGUUGUAAACUACAGAGGCGUCUUCCGCGCCGGAACGUGUGCAAGUCCCCUGGAAUGGGGUAUCGAAGAGGGUGAGAAUCCCGUGCUUCACACGACAACCGGGGCUAUGUGAUGCGUCCUCGACGAGUCGAGUUGUUUGGGAAUGCAGCUCUAAACGGGUGGUAGACUCCAUCUAAGGCUAAAUACGGGCGAGAGACCGAUAGCGAACAAGUACCGUGAGGGAAAGUUGAAAAGCACUUUGGAAAGAGAGUGAAACAGUAUGUGAAAUCGUUGAGAGGGAAACGGUUGAAGCCAAUCGUGUCCCUCGGGAUCAGCCGUCAGGUGGAUUCCCGUUGGAUGGGUCAGCGUCGGUUGGCGUGGACGGAGUAGGGCGGGGGGCCUUGUCGCUUCGGCGACAUUCCCCCGUCGGAAACGCCCGUGCCGACCGAGGGUCGCGGUGUCAAAGCCGAGGACGCUGGCGCAAUGGCUUCAAUCGACCCGUCUUGAAACACG
rnacentral:rRNA from 1 species